UUGUGUGUGGAUAAGCAGCAGCGGAGCGCACGGCUGAGGACUCUUUAGCGCAACUCCAAACACAAAUGGAUAUUUACGUGGCUUUGUUUUUUCUUUUCUUUUUUACCAAACCAGCUUUGGCGUUUGAAUCAGAUCAAGACUACCAGAUUGAUAUCAUCAACGAACUUGACCUGGCAAAUGCCACCUAUGGAAUUACCCAAGUGGCAGGGCUUCACAACAGCAGCAAAGCCUUUCUCUUCCGAGUGCCCUAAAAGAGGAUACAUGUCAAGAAAGUGAUUACAGAGUGAGAGACAGAGGGGAAGAGAUCCCGAUGACUGCUCAAGAGAAAGACUGUUCUGUUUUGGUCCUGCUUGGCUGCACUUCCCGACAAACUGCCAGGAACAUCAGCAGUGAAAAUGUUAUCAUCAUAUUUGAAACUUUCUGUAAUUAAUGUAGGUUGGCUCAGUUUUCGGAGGCAGUAUGAUUUA